UACAGAGGUCUCGAGCGUUGUUCGGAAUCAUUGGGCGUAAAGGGCGCGUAGGUGGCCACUUCAAGCGUGCGGUGAAAGUCGGGGGCUCAACCCCUGAUCGGCCGUGCGAACUGGGGGGCUGGAGCACUGUAGAGGCAGGCGGAAUUCCGGGUGUAGCGGUGGAAUGCGUAGAGAUCCGGAAGAACACCGGUGGCGAAGGCGGCCUGCUGGGCAGUUGCUGACACUGAGGCGCGACAGCGUGGGGAGCAAACAGG
rnacentral:rRNA from 1 species